UACGUAGGGGGCAAGCGUUGUCCGGAUUUAUUGGGCGCAAAGAGCUCGUAGGCGGUUUGUCGCGUCUGCUGUGAAAUCCCGAGGCUCAACCUCGGGCCUGCAGUGGGUACGGGCAGACUUGAGUGGUGUAGGGGAGACUGGAAUUCCUGGUGUAGCGGUGGAAUGCGCAGAUAUCAGGAGGAACACCGAUGGCGAAGGCAGGUCUCUGGGCACUUACUGACGCUGAGGAGCGAAAGCGUGGGGAGCGAACAGG
rnacentral:rRNA from 1 species